AUUGAACGCUGGCGGCAGGCCUUACACAUGCAAGUCGAGCGGAGCGGCGGACGGGUGAGUAAUGCCUAGGAAUCUGCCUGGUAGUGGGGGAUAACGUCCGGAAACGGGCGCUAAUACCGCAUACUAUCAGAUGAGCCUAGGUCGGAUUAGCUAGUUGGUGGGGUAAAGGCCUACCAAGGCGACGAUCCGUAACUGGGCGGAUAGGAUGAUCCGUCACACUGGAACUGAGACACGGUCCAGACGCCUACGGGAGGCAGCAGUGGGGAAUCUUGGACAAUGGGCGAAACCCUGAUCCAGCCAUGCCGCGUGUGUGAUGAAGGUCUUCGGAUUGUAAAGCACGUUAAGUAUGGAGGCGUUACCAACAGAAUAAGUACCGGCUAACUUCGUGCCAGCCGCCGCGGUAAUAC
rnacentral:rRNA from 1 species